GACGAACGCUGGUGGCGUGCUUAACACAUGCAAGUCGAACGGGAUUUAGUAAACAGAAGCCUCGGUGGAAGGUUACUAAUGAGAGUGGCGAACGGGUGAGUAACGCGUGAGCAACCUGCCUAUGACAGUGGGAUAGCCUCGGGAAACCGGGAUUAAUACCGCAUAAAAUCGUAGAAACACAUGUUUUAACGGUCAAAGAUUUAUCGGUCAUAGAUGGGCUCGCGUCUGAUUAGCUAGUUGGUGAGAUAACAGCCCACCAAGGCGACGAUCAGUAGCCGGUCUGAGAGGAUGAACGGCCACAUUGGAACUGAGACACGGUCCAAACUCCUACGGGAGGCAGCAGUGGGGAAUAUUGCACAAUGGGGGAAACCCUGAUGCAGCGACGCCGCGUGAACGAAGAAGGUAUUCGUAUCGUAAAGUUCUGUCCUAUGGGAAGAUAAUGACAGUACCAUAGAAGAAAGCUCCGGCUAAAUACGUG
rnacentral:rRNA from 1 species